rnacentral:lncRNA from 1 species
AUGUCGGCCGGCGAGGUCGAGCGCCUAGUGUCGGAGCUGAGCGGCGGGACCGGAGGGGAUGAGGAGGAAGAGUGGCUCUAUGGCGGCCCAUGGGACGUGCAUGUGCACACUGAUUUGGCAAAGGACCUAGAUGAAAAUGAAGUUGAAAGGCCAGAAGAAGAAAAUGCCAGUGCGAAUCCUCCAUCUGGAAUUGAAGACGAAACUCCUGAAAAUGGCGUACCUAAACCGAAAGUGACUGAGACUGAAGAUGAUAGUGAUAGCGACAGUGAUGAUGAUGAGGACGAUGUUCAUGUCACUAUAGGAGACAUUAAAACGGGAGCACCACAGUAUGGGAGUUAUGGUACAGCACCUGUAAAUCUUAACAUCAAGACAGGAGGAAGAGUUUAUGGAACUACCGUAGGAACGAAAGUGAAAGGAGUAGAUCUGGAUGCGCCUGGAAGCAUUAAUGGAGUUCCGCUCUUGGAGGUGGAUUUGGAUUCUUUUGAAGAUAAACCAUGGCGUAAACCUGGUGCUGAUCUUUCUGAUUAUUUUAAUUAUGGGUUUAAUGAAGAUACCUGGAAGGCUUACUGUGAAAAACAGAAGAGGAUACGAAUGGGGCUUGAAGUUAUACCAGUUACCUCUACUACAAAUAAAAUUACGGCCGAAGACUGUACUAUGGAAGUUACACCAGGUGCAGAGAUCCAAGAUGGCAGAUUCAAUCUUUUUAAGGUACAGCAGGGAAGAACUGGAAAUGCAGAAAAGGAAACAGCGCUUCCAUCUACAAAAGCGGAGUUUACUUCUCCUCCUUCUUUGUUCAAGACUGGACUUCCACCAAGCAGGAGAUUACCUGGGGCAAUUGAUGUUAUUGGUCAGACUAUAACUAUCAGCCGAGUAGAAGGAAGGCGACGGGCAAAUGAAAACAGCAAUAUACAGGUCCUUUCUGAAAGAUCUGCCACUGAAGUAGACAACAAUUUUAGCAAACCACCUCCAUUUUUCCCUCCAGGAGCUCCUCCAACUCACCUUCCACCUCCUCCAUUUCUUCCGCCUCCUCCGACUGUCAGCACUGCUCCACCUCUGAUUCCACCACCAGUGGACAUUCCUCUGGUUAUGAUAGUCGUUCUGCACGUGCUUUUCCAUAUGGCAAUGUUGCCUUUCCCCACCUUCCUGGUUCUACUCCUUCAUGGCCUAGUCUUGUGGACACCAGCAAGCAAUGGGACUAUUACUCAAGGAGAGAGAAAGACCGAGACCGAGAGAGAGACCGAGACCGAGAGCGAGACCGUGAUCGAGACAGAGAACGAGAACGCACCAGAGAGAGGGAGAGGGAGCGUGAUCACAGUCCCACGCCGAGCGUCUUCAACAGUGAUGAAGAACGAUACAGAUACAGGGAGUAUGCAGAAAGAGGCUAUGAGCGCCACAGAGCAAGUCGGGAGAAAGAAGAACGACACAGAGAAAGACGACACAGAGAGAAAGAGGAAACCAGACACAAGUCCUCUCGAAGCAAUAGUAGACGUCGCCAUGAAAGUGAAGAAGGAGACAGUCAUAGGAGACACAAGCACAAAAAAUCUAAAAGAAGCAAAGAAGGAAAAGAAGCUGGCAGUGAGCCUGCCCCUGAACAGGAGAGCACUGAAGCUACACCUGCAGAAUAGGCGUGGUCAUGGCCUUCUGUGUAUAGUAGUGCCAGAAGUAGAUACUGUAAAUCUUGUUAUUUUUCUGGAUAAUGUUUAAGAAACUUGCCUUUCAUCUUGUUCUGUUAGUAUGAAAAGUUAAUUUUCUCUUCCAAAAUAAAAGAGUGAGUUUUUCAUGUUAAG